CGCCUGUUUAUCAAAAACAUGUCUUUAUGAAAUAUUUAUAAAGUCUGGCCUGCCCACUGAAUUUUAAAGGGCCGCGGUAUUUUGACCGUGCAAAGGUAGCAUAGUCAUUUGUCUCUUAAUUGGAGGCUUGUAUGAAUGGUCGCACAAGAAACAAACUGUCUUCAAUAAAAUUAAUUGAAUUUAACUUUUAAGUAAAAAGGCUUAAAUAAAUUAAAGUGACGAUAAGACCCUAUAAAACUUGAUAAAUAAAAUUAAAAAAGCGUAUUAGUUUAUUAAAACUUUUUUUUUCUAACUUAUUUUAUUGGGGCGAUAAAAAUAUAAAAAGUAACUGUUUUUAAAAUUUUAAUGGUUAAUAACUAAAUUAAAUAAAUGAUCCUUUAAUAAAGAUUAAAAGAUUAAGUUACUUUAGGGAUAACAGCGUAAUUUUCUUUGAGAGUUCAUAUCUACAAGAAAGAUUGUGACCUCGAUGUUGAAU
rnacentral:rRNA from 1 species